rnacentral:lncRNA from 1 species
CGAAAUCACCGUUUCUAAUACCACUAAAAAACAGAUGGUUGGUUACAAAAACUCAUUUAAUUUCAGUUAAAAGGAAAAUUGUUAUCAAUUCGCUUGGCCUAUCCCCACAAUUUGAAUUUUGAACCCUAUUGACAAAGUCAACUCCUGAUCCCCACGGUACCCCCGCCUCCCUCCUCCAUGGCACCGAUACUGACCAAUUUUGACGCCGAACCUCCCACGGAUAUCCUUCGACCACCCCCGCUAAAUCUCGGCCUCCGACAACUCAACCAACUUGACAUAGUUCCCUUUCACUAUGCCCAAUAAUCCCACAUAUAUAGCAAAUAAACGGCAAACAUUCAUAAUUGAAUGAGGCUUCCGCAAAAUCACCUCCGGCUUUCGCAACUUCUUUCUUCGCAUCAAAGGGUCAUUUGCAUUUAGGCGGACCCUGAUACUCAUGUAAUUAUUCAAAUAAUUGCGUUGGCUAGUGGUGUCAUAGUCCAAAAACUUGCCCAUGAGAUUACCCAUACUGCCGGCUAAACUCUCCAACGCGAAAUUGGGAGGCAAGCAUGAACCACCCAAAAAUCAGCAUAUCUAAAUUCAAUAAGCUUCGGGAUCUCAACUUUAGAAAGAAAGGAUACAAUUACUGAAGAAGCAAGGGGCCUCGGAAAGCAUCUUUCGCGAAUCUACAGAGUGAUAGAAUUGGAUUAGAUAAAGUCUCGUAUCACCUAUAGGUGUAAUCAUCGCUCCUUGAACCGGUCACCAAAGGGAUAGCAAAGUACUCUCCAUAGCCAUGAAAUUGAUAGUGCACUCACCAAGGAACUUUCCCACCAAGCACAACUCGUAGUUGACACCCACCCCAACACCUGCCUCUGAAGCCACCUGUAACUCCGAAUCUUCCUACUCCUCUAAGGAGAGGUUGUUGAGCGAGAAUAGAAAAAAAAACACAGAGGCAAAAGGAAAACACGUGCACACCGUCAGAUGAAGAACAUGCACUCGAACAGACGAUUAGGCUGCACUUCGACAGACUUUUAACAUAUUACUAUAAAGCUAAUUACAAACUAGAUAAAUAUUAAAUUUUGUAAAUUGUUUAAGUUUUUAUGGAAGAUUUGAGUAUAUUUACUUUAAUUGUUAAUUAAUAACAUGUGAAUGAUAAACUAAUGAUAAAUCAAAUUGAUCCCAACACUUAAUUGUUCUGUAAAUUUGAAUUCUAUUAAAAUAUAUAUUAC